CCACAGAUGAAGGACUGAACCAUGAAUGCAAACUCUGCAAUCAGACGUUCGACUCUCCUGCCAAACUUCAGUGCCACCUGAUAGAGCACAGCUUUGAAGGCAUGGGGGGCACCUUCAAAUGUCCGGUGUGCUUUACAGUGUUUGUCCAAGCAAACAAGUUGCAGCAACAUAUUUUCUCAGCCCAUGGACAAGAGGACAAGAUCUAUGACUGCACACAGUGUCCACAGAAGUUCUUCUUCCAGACAGAGCUGCAGAAUCAUACGAUGACCCAGCACAGCAGUUAGUGCAAGGCCCGUCUCUUCCAGAGAAUUCUUUGUGGCACAAAAAGGGAACACGUUUUACUCUUUGCACGAAACUUUCAUUGUUAAUGUAUAUUAUUCAGAAACAUUGUAUUGUACCAUAAAACUUGUAUUAUCGAAAUUGUUGGAUGUUCAUGUGUUUGAACUUUUGAGCACCGGAUAGACUUCCUGUAUAUAAAGUGUUGCACAUGUAUUAUGUUGUCUGAUACUAAAAUGGUCUUAUAAAGACAAGUGGACUUGGGCCCUAUUCAAGAAAGAUACAAAUAAUAAUACUGUGUGAGGGGAAAAAAAUAGCUUAAGAAAAAGUGUCGUUUUCAAGGAGGAGGGAGGAGGUAAUAGCUAUGUUCCGUUACAGCUCUGUUUGGCCUUCCUUUCGUUUAAACUUCAGUCUAGAAAUCUCUCUUUUGGUAUACAAACGGAUGAACCUAAGACUAUUUUUUAUUGCUGAAGAUUCUUGCAAAAAAUAUGAAGAGACUCUUUCUCACAGAGCAGGAACCCACAGUUGAAUAAGGCCCGUAUAUAUAUUUGUAAGCCUUGCGAUAUGACAGAUAGCAUUACCAUAUAUGCAAUAGUUGUUAUGUAGAUUGUCAAAGAAAUUUUUUUUUCUGGAUACCAUUUGAAGCUUUGAGUGUUCAAAACUUUCCUUAAUGAUUUCACACGGCCAAAUUCUUGAAUCAGUUGAACUAACCUGUAUGUUACUGUUAUUAAUGUUUACUCUGCGGUCUGAACCUGGAGAUUACUGGAAUUGUUUUCCAAAAGGAAAUAAAUUCAGUUUACCAUUA